ACAGCACGACACUGCAGACUUCAAGUGUACACACAGCAAAGAAAAGGACUCGCCCACUGCACUCCACACACUCACAGUGAAUUAGGGUCAAAACCACAUAGGACCGGGGAUUAGUUCCUGGACGUUGGGGGCACCGAUGCAGCAGACGGCCAGAGGAAACGUCACAGCCACGACAAGGCACCAGACUCCUUUUUCGCUGGUUCCGGCUCACCCACCAAUCCUAUUACGGUGGGGCCGCUCACACUGGUCACAACUCACAAGAGAUAACCGACAUCCGACACAACUGGCAGCACGAUCUCCUUCCUGCAAUCCUAGCAGAUCUUCAAUGUGUGUUAACUUCACAUCACACAAUGCAUCUGAACACAAUGCUCCAAUAAAGAUAUUCGUAUACUCA